UCCCCUCUCGUUCGUGCCUAUCUUCAAGUUGCUGAAGAUACUCUCUCCUCGCGGUGCAGCGCGCUCGUCUCUUUCUAACUACACGGUUCGUAUAAACGCGUUUCGUGGAAUUUUUGUUGCGGCCAACUUGAAAGUCAGUUUCACCGAUCGUGUUAUUUCUGCGCGACCAAGCUCUCGUAGAGAGUCUUCGCAACGAUACGCGUUAUAUGAUUGAUUAUCUAACAAUCCGAGUCGCAUCGAUAGUCUAGCGAGGCGGAAAAUUUAUCGGUUAUAUUCACACACUAGCGUGCGAACGAAAGACAGAUUCUCGGAACACGAAUAUAGCACACAUCGCGCGAUAUUGUGAGAUCUUCUAAUGCAUUUUCUCUUCUUUCUCUUUCUUCGAAUCUAUUCGAGAACAGAUCUUCAUCGAAAAAGAUCUGUCUUUCUAUUAAAGAUGAGAUAUCAUUUGCGAACAUCAAAAACUCUAACUAUAACACAGUCUAAGAUGGCGUCGCUCGGCGCUUUAACGGUUAUUGAAACUUAUAAAAUAGCUAUUUGGAAGUCGCGAUAAAGUUCGAAAUUGCCCAAUGCCGCAAAGUUUUCGGCGAAUUCGUAGUUAUCGCUUCGAGGAGAGUAUUAGUUGCGGUUCGCGUUCGAGAUAUUCCGAUAUCACGUGCGCGAUUUAUAACGCGGAAUCGUGACUUCGCAUUCAAUUCGUGUCAAACGGACGCUUUUACUCAGUGAAUUUAUCUUCUUCGACUUAAUCUUGAGAUGCUCAGCGAUUACUAGGUCACGCUGUUACAAGGGCAACAUAUAUGCUCGUAACCUGUAAACAUCACUUGUGCUCCGUUCUUCAUUCCUUCAGGACUGCGUAACCAACCCAUUAAAAAAUAUUCUACAAAAUGCAACACUUUUGGAGAAAGAAGCGGUGUGCAAAGAUGAUGUACGAAGUUUCAAACGAGCGUGCGAUGAGUGGAAGAAAAAUAUUAGCGUCAUAUCGCUUCCUGACUACAGGGAUGGUCGAUAGGUUGAUACCAACACAAUAUUACACUAGAUAUAGCGGCCGUUGAUCGUACCGACUCUCGAAGUGGCUAUGCAAAUUAACACGGGCUCUAUCGAGCGAGAUUGCCCGGAGAGAGUCUCGGCAAAAGAGAGCGAAGGAUAGAUACGAAUAAUCAAAGAACGACGGUAGAGAUGAGUAGAAAAAGUGACGUAUAAAGGAGAGAGAGGAAAAGCCGUAGGGCAAGGGAAUUCGAGAAGGCAAGCAUCGGAGAGAAUGAACGAGAAUGAAGAAAGAAGAGGAAGAGGCGAAAGAUCAGAAAAGGAUGGCAGACGAAUGGAAAACACGUGCCGUCAACGUUACACUGCCGCUGCCUAGUCACUGACGUCAUCGAAGAACGAUUCCAAUUAUGGAUGUCGGGGAGGUAGCCGCAGGGUCUGAUCGCGCGUUGGAGAGAGGCGUUUCUUGUCACUAACGCUAGAGAUUCCGACAGGUUGUGCGUACGUGUAUGUGUUGUGUGAACAUUCGUACAUAUAUUAUGAUUGGCGUGUCGAUACGUGCCGUUAGAUUCGCUCGAGUCGAACCGUGAACCCGAUGCAUUCUGACAGGCAUUCCGACGAUUUUGCGUAAGCACAGUAGUUCCGAAGGAUACAUCUUCUUCGUGACGUAUACAAGUUAUCAGGAUCGCGUCAAAAACAAAAAUGUAUUUUGCCGAUAAAUUUGAAUAAAUUAAAAUGGAGACAAAAUU